rnacentral:rRNA from 1 species
AUGGCCACCAUGGGCGCCUUCCGGACCUUCCUCCUCUCCUACCCGGAGAUCCUCCUGGCCGCUCUCUGCUUCCUCUCCCUGGCCGCCCUCCGCCUCGCUCUGCGGUGCCGCGGCAGCAGCGUGCCGCUGCGAUGGCCGGUCGUCGGCAUGCUCCCGUUCGUGCUCAGCAACCUCGGCCACCUCCUGGACGCCGCCACCGCCGCGCUCAGGGACUCGGGGUGCAUGUUCGUGUUCCGCGGGCCGUGGCUCGUCGGCGGCGACUUCCUCGUCACGUGCGACCCGGCCGCCGUGCACCACUGCCUCGCGGCCAACUUCGACUGCUACGACAAGGGCCACGACUUCGCCGAGAUGUUCGACGUCGCCGGCAACGGGCUGCUGAACGCGGACGCCGUGUCCUGGGCGCGGCAGCGGCAGGUCGUCGCCACCGUCUUCGCCGCCCCCGUGUUCCGCUCCUUCGUCAUAUCCACCGUCGCGCGGCAGACGGCGCGGCUCCUGCUGCCGUUCAUGGACCACGCCGCCGCGGCCGGGCGCGCCGUCGAGCUCGAGGACGUGUUCAUGCGCUUCUCGCUCGACGUCUCCUACGCCGUGGUGUUCGCCGCUGACCUCGACUCGCUGACCGUCUCCGCCGCCGACGCCCCGUACCCGCCCUUCGGCCAGGCGACCAGGAUCGCCGGGGAGGCCGUCAUGUUCCGGCACGUCGUGCCGGCUCGGUGGUGGAAGCUGCUGAGGUGGCUCAACGUCGGCAUCGAGAGGAGGUUCGCCGAGGCCAAGGCGGUGCUCGACGAGUUCGUCUACCUCGAGAUCGCGAACCGCAAGGCAAAACCUCUCCCCCAAGGAGAAGGACAAGGCGGCGACCUGCUGUCCAUGUACAUGGCGUGGCCAAGGGACCCCGCCAUGACCGACCGGCAGAGGGACGAGUUCCUCCGCGACGCCGCCGUCGGCUACAUGAUCGCGGCCAAGGACCUCGUCGCGUCCGCGCUCACCUGGCUCUUCUACAUGCUCUGCACGCACCCGCACGUGGAAGACAAGGUCCUCGCCGAGCUCGAGUCGCUGCGCGCCAACGCCGCGUGCUGCGGCGGUAAACCGGUCGUGUUCGACUGCGACACGCUCCGGUCGGCGACCUACCUCCACGCGGCGGUGCUGGAGACGCUGCGCUUGCACCCGCCCGCGCCGUUCGAGGAGAAGGAGGCGCGCGCCGACGACGUGCUGCCGGACGGCACGAGGGUGACCAAGGGCACCAGGAUCCUCUUCUGCAUCUACGCCAUGGGCAGAGUGGAGGGGAUAUGGGGCGACGACUGCCGGGAGUACCGGCCGGAGCGGUGGCUGUCCGGCAGCGGCCGGGUCCGGCACCAGCCGAGCUACAAGUUCGCAGCCUUCAACUGCGGGCCCAGGAGUUGCCUGGGCAAGGACCUGGGGCUCAUCAACCUCAAGAUCGCCGCCGCGGCCAUCAUAUAUAACUUCCGGGUGGAGCUCGUCGACGGCCAUGUGGUGGAGCCCAGCGACUCGGUGGUGCUCCACACCAAGAACGGCCUCAUGGUUAAGCUCAAGAGAAGGGAAGUGGCUUGA